UAUGGGCCUAAGCUCCGUAGCCGGCUCUGUAAGUUUUCGGUUAAAUCUGUAUGCUCAACAUACAGGCUGCCGGGAAUACUGCAGAGCUAGGGAGUGGGAGAGGUAGACGGUACUCGGUAGGAAGGGGUAAAAUCCUUUGAUCUAUUGAUGACCACCUGUGGCGAAGGCGGUCUACCAGAACACGUCCGACGGUGAGGGAUGAAAGCUGGGGGAGCAAACCGGAUUAGAUACCCGGGUAGUCCCAGCUGUAAACUAUGCAAACUCAGUGAUGCAUUGGCUUGUGGCCAAUGCAGUGCUGCANGGAAGCCGUUAAGUUUGCCNCCUGGGAAGUACNNNCGNNNGUAUNAAAC
rnacentral:rRNA from 1 species